UUGUCCUUAGUUACCAGCACGUUAUGGUGGGCACUCUAAGGAGACUGCCGGUGACAAACCGGAGGAAGUGGGGAUGAACGUCAAGUCAUCAUGGCCCUUACGGCCUGGGCUACACACGUGCUACAAUGGUCGGUACAAAGGGUUGCCAAGCCGCGAGGUGGAGCUAAUCCCAUAAAACCGAUCGUAGUCCGGAUCGCAGUCUGCAACUCGACUGCGUGAAGUCGGAAUCGCUAGUAAUCGUGAAUCAGAAUGUCACGGUGAAUACGUUCCCGGGCCUU
rnacentral:rRNA from 1 species